UUGAACGCUUUUUAUACAAUUUCCCAAAAGAUUAGCCAAAAUAGAUUCAGCACAGAAAUUUUUUUUUGCUUCUUGCGCUACGUCAGUUUACUUACUACAAGUAAUGAGUAGUAUGUACGCCGGCUAUUAGCUCACUCUGAGAUA
rnacentral:sRNA from 9 species